UAUAGUUUGAUGUAAUAGAAUAGUUGUGGACAUAUAUUGUAUAAUGGAUUAAAAUUGUGCUUUGCCCUAAUUUUUACCUUUGUAAUCUCGGUUAACAUGAUCUUUAUAUAAAAGUUUUUAAUUAUAAGUUAUGUUUGAACAAAGCUUGAGACAUGUGAUGUUAACCAUACUAGAGCAUUUGAUGAGAGCUCUAGUAUGGGUUUUAUGUUUUCAGUAUGAUGCAUGUAUAGGUUGAGCUUAGUUUCAUGGAAUGUUUAAGUUUUUAUGAUAAUGUAUGAUCAUGUAUGGGAUUUUAUCAGGUACCCAGGAUGUAUAGUAGGCUUGCUACGAGUUCCGAUGACCUUAAGUCGAUCUGAAUCCUACCGCCGGUGGCAGUCCGAUUUUUGGGUCGUUACACGAGCUAAC
rnacentral:lncRNA from 1 species